rnacentral:lncRNA from 1 species
UGGAAAUGUCUGAGAUCAACUUCCAAUUGAUCAGAGAAUAAGUAGCAUUAAGAUCUACUAAACCAGAAGGGAAAUCAAGCAAUUCUACACUUAACCACCUAAAUAUACUAAGGAUUCCACACCUAAUCUAUCCCAUCCUCAAGAACCCUAAUCCACUACUCAAGAACACUGAAGAACAUCAUGCAAUAAAACCCAGAAAACGUUUCAAACCCAGAAAUCAUUGAAAAGCAAGUAUGUUAUAGAUAAGAG